ensembl:snRNA U6 U6 spliceosomal RNA
GUGCUCACUUUGGAAGCAGAUAUACAAAAAUUGGAAAUAUACAGAGAAAUUAGUAAGGUCCCUACAUUAAGGAUGAUGUGCUAAUUUGUCAAACGUUCCAUAUUUUC